rnacentral:rRNA from 1 species
CCUACGGGUGGCUGCAGUGGGGAAUAUUGCACAAUGGGGGAAACCCUGAUGCAGCGACGCCGCGUGAGUGAAGAAGUAUUUCGGUAUGUAAAGCUCUAUCAGCAGGGAAGAAAGUGACGGUGCCUGACUAAGAAGCCACUGCUAACUACGUGCCAGCAGCCGCGGGAAUACGUAGGGGGCAAGAGUUCUCCGGAUUUACUGGUUGGAAAGGGAGCGUAGACGGCCAGACAAGUCAGAAGUGAAAGCCCAGGGCUCAACCUUGGGACUGCUUUUGAAACUGCCGGGCUGGAGUGCAGGAGAGGUAAGCGGAAUUCCAGGUGUAGCGGUGAAAUGCGUAGAUAUUAGGAGGAACACCAGUGGCGAAGGCGGCUUACUGGACUGUAACUGACGUUGAGGCUUGAAAGCGUGGGGAGCAAACAGGAUUAGAUACCCCUGUAGUC